GAUGAACGCUGGCGGCGUGCCUAAUACAUGCAAGUCGAGCGAACAGAUGCUGAGCUUGCUCCUCUGACGUUAGCCGCGGACGGGUGAGUAACACGUGGAUCACCUACCUAUCAGUCUGGGAUAACUUCGGGACACCGGAGAUAAUACCGGAUAAUAUAUUGAUCCGCAUGGUUCAAUAGUAAAAGACGGUUUUGCUGUCACUAAUAGAUGGAUCCGCGCCGCAUUAGCUAGUUGGUAAGGUAACGGCUUACCAAGGCAACGAUGCGUAGCCGACGUGAGUGGGGGAUCGGCCACACUGGAACUGAGACACGGUCCAGACUCCUGCGGGAGGCAGCAGUAGCGAAUCUUCCGCAGUGGGCGAGAGCCUUGCGGAGCGACGCCGCGUGAGUGAUGAAGGUCCUCGGAUCGUAAAGCUCUGUUAUUAGGGAAGAACAAAUGUGGAAGUAACUAUGCACUUCUUGACGGUACCUAAUCAGAAAGCCACGGCUAACUACGUG
rnacentral:rRNA from 1 species